AGGGUUUCUGUUUUGCUAGAGUGAUCCUCCCAGAAUUUUUCAGAAUUUGUGGCGGUUUAUGGUGUCCGUGGACAAACCCUCCUUCCAAAACUGUGUGUUCAUCCAUCAACAGCUUUCAAUUGAGGCGCAGCGAUGGCGACGCACCUUCAAAGUUCCACUAAAAUGGCCCUUCACGCCCCGGUUCUUCUAGCGCUUAGGAUUACAUUGCAGGCUUCAUCAAAAUGAAGUGUUCGAUCGAGCGGGUGAACUGGUCGAUAGGUUCUUAUAGCACGAGACGGAUUAUGCUUCGGUGAUGGACCUCCGAGAUAAGCAUUAAAUGAAGUCUAAAAAAAUUGUGUAUGUUCGAGAACAAUCAAAAUUUUCAAAAUCAUGUCACCAUAAUUCAUAUUACCAAAUUACCCCCAAAAUAAUGUUGAA